AAGAAAGUGGCAGAGUGGUUAUGCGGUUGGCUUGAAACCAAUUUAUGGGGGUUCAAUUCCUUCCUUUCUCG
rnacentral:tRNA from 1 species